UACGUAGGCAGCGAGCGUUGUUCGGAGUUACUGGGCGUAAAGGGUGCGUAGGCGGUUGUUUAAGUUUGGUGUGAAAUCUCCCGGCUCAACUGGGAGGGUGCGCCGAAUACUGAAUGACUAGAGUGCGGGAGAGGAUAGUGGAAUUCCUGGUGUAGCGGUGAAAUGCGUAGAUAUCAGUCGGAACACCGGUGGCGAAGGCGGCUUCUUGGGCCAUUUCUGACGCUGAGGCGCGAAAGCUAGGGGAGCGAACGGG
rnacentral:rRNA from 1 species